rnacentral:rRNA from 1 species
AUUGAACGCUGGCGGAAUGCUUUACACAUGCAAGUCGAACGGCAGCACGGGGGCAACCCUGGUGGCGAGUGGCGAACGGGUGAGUAAUACAUCGGAACGUGCCCAGUCGUGGGGGAUAACGUAGCGAAAGCUACGCUAAUACCGCAUACGAUCUACGGAUGAAAGCGGGGGGUCGCAAGACCUCGCGCGAUUGGAGCGGCCGAUGGCAGAUUAGGUAGUUGGUGAGGUAAAGGCUCACCAAGCCGACGAUCUGUAGCUGGUCUGAGAGGACGACCAGCCACACUGGGACUGAGACACGGCCCAGACUCCUACGGGAGGCAGCAGUGGGGAAUUUUGGACAAUGGGCGCAAGCCUGAUCCAGCCAUUCCGCGUGCAGGAUGAAGGCCCUCGGGUUGUAAACUGCUUUUGUACGGAACGAAACGGCUCUCUCUAAUACAGGGGGCUAAUGACGGUACCGUAAGAAUAAGCACCGGCUAACUACGUGCCAGCCGCCGCUGUUAA